UACGUAGGGGGCGAGCGUUGUCCGGAAUUACUGGGUGUAAAGGGCGUGUAGGCGGUGAAGCAAGUUAUCGGUAAAAACCCUGAGCUCAACUUAGGGCUUGCCGAUAAAACUGCCUCACUUGAGUGCAGGAGAGGGAAGUGGAAUUCCCGGAGUAGCGGUGAAAUGCGUAGAUCCCGGGAGGAACACCAGUGGCGAAGGCGGCUUCCUGGCCUGUAACUGACGCUGAGGCGCGAAAGCUGGGGGAGCGAACGGG
rnacentral:rRNA from 1 species